AGAUUGAACGCUGGCGGCAUGCCUUACACAUGCAAGUCGAACGGCAGCACGGGAGCAAUCCUGGUGGCGAGUGGCGAACGGGUGAGUAAUACAUCGGAACGUGCCCAAUCGUGGGGGAUAACGCAGCGAAAGCUGUGCUAAUACCGCAUAAGAU
rnacentral:rRNA from 1 species